UGAGUUACAUAAAGGAAAUAUUGGGGU
rnacentral:piRNA from 1 species